AGGCCGAGCACCUCCAUGGCAACGAUAAGUGUUUGGUGGCCUGGUUGUUGUAGGCCUAGAUGUUGCUUGGCUUUGCUGGUUCUUCUUUGAUCUUUUUGUUUGGCUUUUGCUUCCAAGAUGACCGUCUUUUAAGAGCCCCUUUUUCCUUUCAGCCCGUAUGUGCUUUGCUGCGAUUCUCAACCUCAGCCUGAUGUAUCUGUUGGUGAGUUUUUUUUGUACAUCAUGACAUGAGGGAAGCCUGCCGUCGAUCAUCAUAGCUUCCUUCUCCAGCACAUCCAUGGCAUUUUGGAGAUCCAUGAGGGAGGCACUGGUCCUGGUUCGGAACAGCUCCUCAAUUUGCCGGACUAGGUCAAAGGCCUCUUGCGACGGCCGACAAAGCGCACCAGGUUUGAAUUCCUUCAGCUUCAGUAAAGUACUGUGCUCUCCUUCAGAUGGUAGAGAGCACAGGUCUCUGUUGUUGUGAGGUCAGGUGCAGGACUGCGCUCCAUCAGCUCCUCCACUCGCAGGGCAGGACUGGAAAUUGACUUCAGUGCUUGGUGAAACUCCACAGCAGUUGGGACUGGAUUCCUCUGUCGGAUGCAAUAGGUUUUCCAGACAGUCUUGGGCUUCCAGCUACUCGGCUGUCCAAUCUUCAGCCCACGGAACAGUUGGAUCGUGUCCUCGAGGAACUUGAUGGCCUUUUGGUACUCCUCCAUCUUAUGCCUGCUCAGUGCCAUUACUGGGUGGCGAGAAGACAUGAGGUCGAACCAGUGGUCUACCUGCUCUAGGAGCCAUGCUGUUGUCCGGUAAGAGUGGACCGACUGAAGCUUCAUUGGAGGGAAGGUUCUCCCUCUCAACCGUAUCCGGUGGAAUUGUGAACGUCUGUCCGCGGACCAGGGCACUCUUCAAGUUCUUCACCAGGUGUGGGACAUCUGGCAUGAAGUGUAGCCUCCUGUCUGGUCUUGUUGGAUGUGGGACAGACGUUUUGUUGUGGUCCACACCAAAGGCCUUCCACAUUGCCCGAUUAGGACUGCCCAUGUCAGUGGUGACGUUAAUCACAUGUAGCCCGAUGGAAUCUGCUCUGUGAAUAAUGUCCAAGACAAUAGGUAACGUCACAUCCCCAUACAGCUUCCCUGUUCCCAGGUGCAGCUCCACGCUUGGAGUGAUUGACAUCUCAUCCACAGGUUCUGAUGUCAGGGAGAGGAAUCGACAUGUCCUGUAGAAGUUUGUAGCCGGUUGAGCCAGUAGCAAAACUCUUUAUCACUGUACCCUGGCUCACUUGGACACUGGGCACAGGAUCCUGGCUCACUGGGCACUGGAACCUGGCUCACUGGGGCACUGGAACCUGGCUCACUUGGACACUGGGCACUGGCUACUGGCUCACUGGGGCACUGGACUGGCUCACUGGCUGCUGGACCCUUCCUCCUCUUGGGCUCAGGACGAUGCAGAAAUAUGCUGGGAACAGCAUCAGCCUUCAAUUUCAGUUGGCCUUUUUUUGUUUUUGUGAAUUGGUCUCCCUCAAAAUGUGCCUGCGAUGAUAUUGGCACAAUGGCGUGAGUUUAAUUUCCACAUGCAUUACAAACUCAUAAUAGUCAAUCCCAAUUUCAUUAUAUACAUAUUACAGUAAACACAUUGGUCCUUGAUCCAAAGUGAAAUGUAUAAAGACAACUUAAACUCACACCACACA